ACACACACACACACACACACAGGCACGAUUUCACCACAGACCCAAUAAUAAACUUCCCUUUUUAAAUAUUCAUUCCCCUUUCGCUGCACAAAAACAAUCGCAGAAAAACUCAGAUUUUGAUCAACUGCUGAUCGUCACUCGACAGACAGCUGAGAUGGGUGUUGUUCUGGCGGCUGGUACUUUGCUCAUCGCUCUGAUGCAAGAGCCCGAGGUUGCCGCCUGGUUGUUCCCCUUUUAGGACCACAUUGUCAUAUUAUACCCAGGGAGACAUUACAUUGAGGAAUCACAUGGAUCGUGUACAAUAAACAAAUCAAAAACAAACAUUUGUCAAUAAUUCCAAAUAACCUUCUCACAAGUCAAAGCAACCACGAGUCACUUUUAGUAUGAAUAUUUAAAUUCAUUUUAUAGUUGACGAGGCUCUGAAUGGUGUUUAGCAGUGUUUAGUGGCGAGUUACCGUCUCUCCCCAUGUGGUCAUAACCGCUGCCUUCUGUCAUCAACACAUACAGCUUUCAACGUACAAGAAGUAUACAAAUAUUCAAUAUGCAACUCUUAAGAUUAUUAUUUUUUACCUUGUAUUGAUGCAACUUGUUUUUCUUAGUUUUAUUGUAUUUAAAGUUGUUUGUGUGAGAAAUUUUAAUCCAUCGUAAUUUCCUUUGUA